AUGCGCUCCGUUGCCCGGAUAGCUCAGUCGGUAGAGCAGGGGAUUGAAAAUCCCCGUGUCCUUGGUUCGAUUCCGAGUCCGGGCA
rnacentral:tRNA from 1 species